AUUGAACGCUGGCGGAAUGCUUUACACAUGCAAGUCGAACGGCAGCACGGGGCAACCUGGUGGCGAGUGGCGAACGGGUGAGUAAUACAUGGGAACGUGCCCAAUCGUGGGGGAUAACGUAGCGAAAGUUACGCUAAUACCGCAUACGAUCUACGGAUGAAAGCGGGGGAUCGCAAGACCUCGCGCGAAUGGAGCGGCUGAUGUCAGAUUAGGUAGUUGGUGGGGUAAAGGCUAACCAAGCCGACGAUCUGGAGCUGGUCUCAGAGGACGACCGACCACCCUGGGACUGAGACACGGCCCAGACUCCAACGGGAGGCAGCAGUGGGGAAUUUUGGACAAUGAGCGCAAGCCUGAUCAAGCCAGUCCGCGUGCAGGAUGAAGUCCUUGGGGUUGUAAACUGCGUUUGUACGGAACGAAACGGUUAGCUCUAAUACAGUUUGCUAAUGACGGUACCGUAAGAAUAAGCACCGGCUAACUACGUGCCAGCAGCCGCAGUAAUAC
rnacentral:rRNA from 1 species